rnacentral:misc_RNA from 1 species
GAUGAAGAACGUAGCAAAAUGCGAUAAGUAAUGUGAAUUGCAGAAUUCAGUGAAUCAUCGAAUCUUUGAACGCACAUUGCGCCCGCCAGUAUUCUGGCGGGCAUGCCUGUCCGAGCGUCAUUUCAACCCUCGAACCCCUCCGGGGGGUCGGCGUUGGGGAUCGGCCCUUUCACCGGGUGCCGGCCCCUAAAUACAGUGGCGGUCUCGCCGCAGCCUCUCAUGCGCAGUAGUUUGCACACUCGCACCGGGAGCGCGGCGCGUCCUCGUCCGUAAAACACCCCAAACUUCUGAAAUGUUGACCUCGGAUCAGGUAGGAAUACCCGCUGAACUUAAGCAUAUCAAUAAGCGGAGGA